GAAGAUCCACACAACUAUCUAGCCUAUGAGGGGUGAAAGACUGAAAGCGCUAUUUAAUUGUGAAGAGGGGCUGGCCCUGAAGGUUGAGGCAGUAGAGAAGAAAACACAGGAAACAUACUGGAGUGAUUGCUGUGGGAACUGGAGAUAGUCACAGAAAAAUAAAUGUUGUCAUCUGAUCGUUUGAGAGUCAGCAACCAAACUGAAUCCAAUUAAUAGUUCUGUUCUGCCUUGUAAGAGCAAAAGUGGGACAAAACUCUGCUGACUACACUGAAAUUAAAAGUAAAACCUAGUCUUUUGGAAGGCCUAAUUAAAUCAGCCUUGAGAAGAGAAGCUUCCUGGCUUCACACAGUUUUGUGAGCAUAUCCUUGAAAUAAAGUCUAGGGUAGAGCUGGUUGGUGCAUAUAAUGCAAUUCUAGACUAGGCAAAAGUUCCAGAGAGAGAGAGAGGAAGACUCUAUUUGCUGCCUUUCAAAAGAAAAGUUCUGACAUAAAGUUUAAUUGACUUAGUCUUAAAGGAAACUUUUCUAGAGAAUCUGUUGAAAAUGCAUGGAAUACUGGCUGAGAACAAGAAAGACAUUUCUCCAUAGAUUGGAACAGAUACGCUACUCCUCAUGCAUCAGUGGCCUCAUUUGCCUCUUGGAGGAAAAGAAUACCAAGCCUAGAGAUCUCUUUUGUUCUGGUUUCCAGCUUUGCUGAAUACAACUGGUAUUUGGCACUCUAAAGGUGAAAAAAAAAAUGGAUAUUCUGUUUCAUCUGAGAAGGGAGAUUGGAAUUUUUGUGUCAGAAAAGGCUUUUAUUAACAAUUCUUCAUGCCACUAACUGGAAAACUAAAGCAGAGAGACAUACAACUACAGAAGCAUGCUGAUAAGUCUAAGAUGAUGCUUUUGAAAAAUAAGAAGCCUAACAAUAAAAGGAUCUUUUUUUCAAGAGGAUGAUACUCCAUUACUUGUCAAUUCUCCAUCUACCUGGCAAUUGAUUUGCACGUGGGUGUAAUUACCAUCGCUGAUGGUGUCGGAGAUGAGCUUCCCCACCAGGGUCCUGUCAAUCACCACUUUCUCCAGCUGUGGCCCAGAAAGGCUUAGGGACACCAAUACACCUGAAUGAAAGAGGAGCUAAAUCCAAAUAGCGAGAAAACAAGACAUCAAGAAUCAAUAAUAAAGUGAAACAGUCUAAGAUGAAGUGUGCCAUAGAAAGAUGCAUCUCUUUUGGAACAGUCCACCAAACAAAAGCACAUUUAUCAUCCCUGGGAGGGCUGGACUUUUAUGAAAAUUAAAGCUGUUGAAAGACGUUUAAAAACCAGAUUACAUGUUGCUGUACUUGAAAGUUUCUGAAACAUACCUCUACCUCCUUGAGAGUAUCUCGCAGUUUUUCUGGUCGUUUGUUUUUAAGUAUCCAAGGAUAAU